UACGUAGGCAGCGAGCGUUGUUCGGAGUUACUGGGCGUAAAGGGUGCGUAGGCGGUUGUUUAAGUUUGGUGUGAAAUCUCCCGGCUCAACUGGGAGGUGCGCCGAAUACUGAAUGACUAGAGUGCGGGAGAGGAUAGUGGAAUUCCUGGUGUAGCGGUGAAAUGCGUAGAUAUCAGGAGGAACACCGGUGGUGUAGACGGCUAUCUGGACCGUAACUGACGCUGAGGCACGAAAGCGUGGGUAGCAAACAGG
rnacentral:rRNA from 1 species